rnacentral:rRNA from 1 species
UGGGGAAUAUUGGACAAUGGGCGAAAGCCUGAUCCAGCCAUGCCGCGUGUGUGAAGAAGGUCUUCGGAUUGUAAAGCACUUUAAGUUGGGAGGAAGGGCAGUAAGCGAAUACCUUGCUGUUUUGACGUUACCGACAGAAUAAGCACCGGCUAACUCUGUGCCAGCAGCUGCGGUAAUACAGAGGGUGCAAGCGUUAAUCGGAAUUACUGGGCGUAAAGCGCGCGUAGGUGGUUCGUUAAGUUGAAUGUGAAAGCCCCGGGCUCAACCUGGGAACUGCAUCCAACACUGGCGAGCUUGAGUAGGGCAGAGGGUGGUGGAAUUUCCUGUGUAGCGGUGAAAUGCAUAGGUAUAGGAAGGAACACCAGUGGCGAAGGCCACCACCUGAGCUCAUACUGACACUGAGGUGCGAAAGCGUGGGGAGCAAACAGG